GGGCCCGCACAAGCGGUGGAGCAUGUGGUUUAAUUCGAUGCAACGCGAAGAACCUUACCUGGUCUUGACAUACACAGAAUCUUGUAGAGAUACGAGAGUGCCUUCGGGAAUUGUGAUACAGGUGCUGCAUGGUUGUCGUCAGCUCGUGCCGUGAGGUGUCAGGUUAAGUCCUAUAACGAGCGCAACCCCUGUGGUUAGUUGCCAUCAUUAAGUUGGGCACUCUGAAAGAACUGCCAGUGAUAAGCUGGAGGAAGGUGGGGACGACGUCAAGUCCUCAUGGCCCUUACGGGAUGGGCUACACACGUGCUACAAUGGCAGUGACAAUGGGUUAAUCCCCAAAAACUGUCUCAGUUCGGAUUGAGGUCUGAAACUCGACCUCAUGAAGUCGGAAUCGCUAGUAAUCG
rnacentral:rRNA from 1 species